UACGUAGGCAGCGAGCGUUGUUCGGAGUUACUGGGCGUAAAGGGUGUGUAGGCGGUUGUUUAAGUUUGGUGUGAAAUCUCCCGGCUCAACUGGGAGGGUGCGCCGAAUACUGAAUGACUAGAGUGCGGGAGAGGAAAGUGGAAUUCCUGGUGUAGCGGUGAAAUGCGUAGAUAUCAGGAGGAACACCGGUGGUGUAGACGGCUUUCUGGAUCGUAACUGACGCUGAGACACGAAAGCGUGGGUAGCAAACAGG
rnacentral:rRNA from 1 species